GGCAGACUUGAGUACUGCAGGGGAGACUGGAAUUCCUGGUGUAGCGGUGGAAUGCGCAGAUAUCAGGAGGAACACCGGUGGCGAAGGCGGGUCUCUGGGCAGUAACUGACGCUGAGGAGCGAAAGCGUGGGGAGCGAACAGGAUUAGAUACCCUGGUAGUCCACGCCGUAAACGGUGGGUACUAGGUGUGGGUUUCCUUCCUUGGGAUCCGUGCCGUAGCUAACGCAUUAAGUACCCCGCCUGGGGAGUACGGCCGCAAGGCUAAAACUCAAAGAAAUUGACGGGGGCCCGCACAAGCGGCGGAGCAUGUGGAUUAAUUCGAUGCAACGCGAAGAACCUUACCUGGGUUUGACAUGCACAGGACGCUGGUAGAGAUAUCAGUUCCCUUGUGGCCUGUGUGCAGGUGGUGCAUGGCUGUCGUCAGCUCGUGUCGUGAGAUGUUGGGUUAAGUCCCGCAACGAGCGCAACCCCUAUCUUAUGUUGCCAGCGCGUUAUGGCGGGGACUCGUAAGAGACUGCCGGGGUCAACUCGGAGGAAGGUGGGGAUGACGUCAAGUCAUCAUGCCCCUUAUGUCCAGGGCUUCACACAUGCUACAAUGGCCGGUACAGAGGGCUGCGAAUCCGUAAGGUGGAGCGAAUCCCUUCAAAGCCGGUCUCAGUUCGGAUUGGGGUCUGCAACUCGACCCCAUGAAGUCGGAGUCGCUAGUAAUCGCAGAUCAGCAACGCUGCGGUGAAUACGUUCCCGNNCNNNGUACACACCGCCCGUCACGNNCAUGAAAGUCGGUAACACCCGAAGCCGGU
rnacentral:rRNA from 1 species